rnacentral:snRNA from 1 species
GUGCUCACUUCCACAGCACAUAUACUAAAAUUGGGACACUACAGAGGAGAUUAGCAUGGCCCCUGAACAAGGAUGACAUGCAAAUUUGUGAACGCUUUCCAUAUUUUU